rnacentral:snRNA from 1 species
AUGAUUCACAGAUGAUCUGUUGC